rnacentral:rRNA from 1 species
GACGAACGCUGGCGGCGUGCCUAAUACAUGCAAGUAGAACGCUGAAGGAGGAGCUUGCUUCUCUGGAUGAGUUGCGAACGGGUGAGUAACGCGUAGGUAACCUGCCUGGUAGCGGGGGAUAACUAUUGGAAACGAUAGCUAAUACCGCAUAAUAGCAGUUGUUGCAUGACAACUGUUUGAAAGGUGCAAUUGCACCACUACCAGAUGGUCCUGCGUUGUAUUAGCUAGUUGGUGGGGUAACGGCUCACCAAGGCGACGAUACAUAGCCGACCUGAGAGGGUGAUCGGCCACACUGGGACUGAGACACGGCCCAGACUCCUACGGGAGGCAGCAGUAGGGAAUCUUCGGCAAUGGACGGAAGUCUGACCGAGCAACGCCGCGUGAGUGAAGAAGGUUUUCGGAUCGUAAAGCUCUGUUGUAAGAGAAGAACGAGUGUGAGAGUGGAAAGUUCACACUGUGACGGUAUCUUACCAGAAAGGGACGGCUAACUACGUG